GCUCUUGGGGGCUUUUCCCUGAGGAGGGAGAAGGGCAGCCCGUCAGUGACGGGCUGCUCUUCUCCCUCCUUGGGGAAAAGCCUGCUCGUGGGAA